GGUUCUGUGGCUUAGCUUUGAAAGCACCUGUCUAGUAAACAGGAGAUCUUGGGUUUGAAUCCCAGAUGGGCCU
rfam:Ovis aries breed Texel chromosome 1, whole genome shotgun sequence.